rnacentral:rRNA from 1 species
UGGGGAAUAUUGCACAAUGGGCGCAAGCCUGAUGCAGCCAUGCCGCGUGUAUGAAGAAGGCCUUCGGGUUGUAAAGUACUUUCAGCGAGGAGGAAGGCGGUAAGGUUAAUAACCUUAUCGAUUGACGUUACUCGCAGAAGAAGCACCGGCUAACUCCGUGCCAGCAGCCGCGGUAAUACGGAGGGUGCAAGCGUUAAUCGGAAUUACUGGGCGUAAAGCGCACGCAGGCGGUCUGUCAAGUCGGAUGUGAAAUCCCCGGGCUCAACCUGGGAACUGCAUUCGAAACUGGCAGGCUAGAGUCUUGUAGAGGGGGGUAGAAUUCCAGGUGUAGCGGUGAAAUGCGUAGAGAUCUGGAGGAAUACCGGUGGCGAAGGCGGCCCCCUGGACAAAGACUGACGCUUAGGUGCGAAAGCGUGGGGAGCAAACA